UACGUAGGGCGCAAGCGUUGUCCGGAAUUAUUGGGCGUAAAGAGCUCGUAGGCGGUCUGUCGCGUCCGUUGUGAAAACUCGAGGCUCAACCUCGGGCUUGCAGUGGAUACGGGCAGACUAGAGUGCGGUAGGGGAGACUGGAAUUCCUGGUGUAGCGGUGGAAUGCGCAGAUAUCAGGAGGAACACCGGUGGCGAAGGCGGGUCUCUGGGCCGAAACUGACGCUGAGGAGCGAAAGCGUGGGGAGCAAACAGG
rnacentral:rRNA from 1 species